UAGAGCAAACCUCACGUGCGCCACGUUCUGCCAUCGUCACGUGGUGUCGGCUUGCCAAGAGAGAAGACGGGCGUUUCCCUUGCCGAAAAAUCAAGAUGCCACCGCUCACGCUUGGCUCCCUCGUCGGAACGGUCCUGCUGCUGGCCCACGCAGAAGCUUACAUCACUUACUUGGAGGUCCGCCUGCCGCUUCAAGGAAACCGGGCUCCCCGGGGCUCCGUGUGGCCGGAGCCGCAGCUCGUCAUGCCUUCGAAGCUGCAGAGGCACCUGGUGCCGGGUUCGUUUCGUUUCACAACGAACGACGUGGGCACACCAGAGUGCGACGUGCUGGCCAAGGCAACGGUCCGCUACGCCAAGCUGCUCUUCUUCAACGCCAUGAGGCAGGAACAGGGGGCAGCGAUGCCGACAGGCAAGCGGCUGGACAGGCUGGACGUCAACGUGUCACUUCUCGCGGAGCAGUUCUGCCGCUACCCGCGCUACGGAGACGACGAGAGCUAUAACCUGACUGUACCGGUUUCCGGUGAUGCUUUUCUGAAUGCCACAACAGUUUGGGGAGCAUUGAGAGGUUUGGAAACGUUCAGUCAGCUUUUCUACCAAGAUCCUGACACCAAAGAAUUCCUGGUGAACGUGACGUCACUGCGAGACUACCCGAGGUUCUUCUACAGGGGCCUCCUCGUGGAUUGCGUCACUCGGUUUCUUCCUGUGAAGACUCUCAAAAGAAAUCUGGAUGCCAUGGCUUACAACAAGUUUAACGUCUUUCACUGGUUCCUUGCCGACGGGACCGCCUGGCGCCUCAGAUUGGCAGCAUUCCCGAAUCUCACGACGGUGACACGACUUCCUAGGCACAUGUACCAGCCCCAGGACGUCGAGGACGUCGUCGAGCACGCCAGGUUGCGCGGCAUUCGCGUGAUCCCGGAGUUCGCCAUCGCCUCACCUCCUAAGCUGCUGAGGGACGCACUGCCAGGCCUGGUGGCGCUUUGCCCGCGCAGCGACGAGCAGCACCACGAGGUCCCCUACCCGAAGGACUGCGCGUGGGACGUGGUGGAUUUGUGGCACGGCCCAACGUACGACGCGUAUGCCGUCAUCUUCAGGGAGGUCGCGUCUCUCUUCAAGGACGAGUACAUGCACCUCGGAGGCAAGCUGCAUCCUUCAACGCUCCGGAGCGACGCACAACCUCAGGCGGCGACAAUGCUACAGCUGUACACGGACAACAUCAUCAACCUCACCCGCAGCCUGGGUUUCAAGACCAUGGUCUGGCACGACCUCCUUAGCAUCGGCGUGAGGGUUCCCCGCGACGCCGUCGUGCAGCUGUGUCGCAGGGAGGACGACGUGGACAGCUCGACGAUCCAGCAGCUGGCCAAGGCGGGACACCAGCUGGUCUUCUCCUCCAAGUGGAACCUGAGCGCCUUCAUGUACGGCCCCGACUGGAAAAAGUUCUACAGCUACGACCCCGCGCAACUUGAUGGCCCCGGGCAUCGGCCAUGGCGGAGCGGUUGUGGAGCAGCGAGUCGAUGACCAACACUGACGAUGCGGCGUUCCGACUGGACGAGCAGCGGUGUCGCAUGCUCAACCGAGGAAUCCGAGCACAACCAAUACUGAACGGUUACUGCGGCGACCAAGACCUUGACUACAUGGACAAUUACCCUGUUGUCGAGUGACUUCGUUUUGUUUUUACUGUUGCAAUGACCAAAGAUGAAUCAUUGUUUUCUUGC
rnacentral:misc_RNA from 1 species